UACGGGGGGGGCAAGCGUUGUUCGGAAUCACUGGGCGUAAAGGGCUCGUAGGUGGCCAACUAAGUCAGCCGUGAAAUCCCUCGGCUUAACCGGGGAACUGCAUCUGAUACUGGAUGGCUUGAGAUUGGGAGAGGGAUGCGGAAUUCCAGGUGUAGCGGUGAAAUGCGUAGAUAUCUGGAGGAACACCGGUGGCGAAGGCGACAUCCUGGACCGGUAUUGACGCUGAGGCGCGAAAGCCAGGGGAGUAAACGGG
rnacentral:rRNA from 1 species